rnacentral:rRNA from 1 species
UACAGAGGUGGCAAGCGUUGUUCGGAAUUACUGGGCGUAAAGGGCGCGUAGGCGGCCCUUCUCAGUCAGACGUGAAAUCCCCAGGCUUAACCUGGGAACUGCGUCUGAUACUAGAAGGCUUGAGUGCGGGAGAGGGAUGUGGAAUUCCAGGUGUAGCGGUGAAAUGCGUAGAUAUCUGGAGGAACACCGGUGGCGAAGGCGGCAUCCUGGACCGACACUGACGCUGAGGCGCGAAAGCCAGGGGAGCAAACGGG